rnacentral:rRNA from 1 species
GGUUUAAUUCGAUGCAACGCGAAGAACCUUACCUGGUCUUGACAUCCACAGAACUUUCCAGAGAUGGAUUGGUGCCUUCGGGAACUGUGAGACAGGUGCUGCAUGGCUGUCGUCAGCUCGUGUUGUGAAAUGUUGGGUUAAGUCCCGCAACGAGCGCAACCCUUAUCCUUUGUUGCCAGCGGUCCGGCCGGGAACUCAAAGGAGACUGCCAGUGAUAAACUGGAGGAAGGUGGGGAUGACGUCAAGUCAUCAUGGCCCUUACGACCAGGGCUACACACGUGCUACAAUGGCGCAUACAAAGAGAAGCGACCUCGCGAGAGCAAGCGGACCUCAUAAAGUGCGUCGUAGUCCGGAUUGGAGUCUGCAACUCGACUCCAUGAAGUCGGAAUCGCUAGUAAUCGUGGAUCAGAAUGCCACGGUGAAUACGUUCCCGGGCCUUGUACACACCGCCCGUCACACCAUGGGAGUGGGUUGCAAAAGAAGUAGGUAGCUUAACCUUCGGGAGGGCGCUUACCACUUUGUGAUUCAUGACUGGGGUGAAGUCGUAACAAGGUAACCGUAGGGGAACCUGCGGU